rnacentral:rRNA from 1 species
GACGAACGCUGGCGGCGUGCUUAACACAUGCAAGUCGAACGGUGAAGGGACUGGUUUUGCUGGUCCUGGAUGAGUGGCGAACGGGUGAGUAACCCGUGAGUAACCUGCCCCCUUCUUCUGGAUAACCGCAUGAAAGUGUGGCUAAUACGGGAUAUUCUGGGUCUGUCGCAUGGUGGGCCUGGGAAAGAUUGCGCCUUUUUUGGAGAUUUUGGUGGGGGCUGGGCUCGCGGCCUAUUAGCGUGUCGGUGGGGUGAGGGCCUACCAAGGCGGUGACGGGUAGCCGGCCUGAGAGGGUGGACGGUCACACUGAGACUGAGACACGGCCGAGACUCCUACGAGAGGCAGCAGUGGGGAAUAUUGCACAAUGGGCGCUAGCCUGAUGCAGCGACGCCGCGUGAGGGAUGGAGGCCCUCGGGUUGUGAACCUCUUUCGCCAGUGAAGCAGGUCUGCCUCUUUUUGUGGGUGGGUUGACGGUAGCUGGAUAAGAAGCGCCGGCUAACUACGUG